rnacentral:rRNA from 1 species
AUUGAACGCUGGCGGCAUGCCUUACACAUGCAAGUCGAACGGCAGCGCGGGCUUCGGCCUGGCGUCGAGUGGCGAACGGGUGAGUAAUGCAUCGGAACGUGCCCAGCAGUGGGGGAUAGCCCGGCGAAAGCCGGAUUAAUACCGCAUACGACCUGAGGGUGAAAGCGGGGGACCGAAAGGCCUUGCGCCAUUGGAGCGGCCGAUGUCGGAUUAGCUAGUUGGUGGGGUAAAGGCUUACCAAGGCGACGAUCCGUAGCUGGUCUGAGAGGAUGACCAGCCACACUGGGACUGAGACACGGCCCAGACUCCUACGGGAGGCAGCAGUGGGGAAUUUUGGACAAUGGGGGCAACCCUGAUCCAGCCAUGCCGCGUGCGGGAAGAAGGCCUUCGGGUUGUAAACCGCUUUUGUUCGGGAAGAAAUCCUCUGGGCUAAUACCCCGGGGGGAUGACGGUACCGAAAGAAUAAGCACCGGCUAACUACGUG